rnacentral:lncRNA from 1 species
GUGACAGGGAUGAUAGAGGCAAUAGCUCAAAUCAAAGCAACAAGGGAAAUACCACUUCUGGAUCUGCCCCUGACAAAGAAACUCAUAAGUCUAAAGGCAAAGAACCGUUACAUCAGUCCGAUAAUGUUUUCAAUUCUGAUAGUUAUGAUGACUAUCCACAGGAUAUGGAUGAUGAUGACAUCUUCGAUGCUACCUAUCGUCAAGCAGAAGAAGAAGAAGG